rfam:Ralstonia pickettii 12J chromosome 2, complete sequence.
CAGAGGUCUGGGCAAAACCGGAGUGAUCCGGCGACGCAAAGCUACAGGGACUUCUCCAGAAGAAGUCAGCCAGUUGCCCGC